UGAAAUUAAGCCUAAAAAAUAACAAGUCAAUAUCAAUCAAUCAAUAUAUAUUGGUAGGGAAUCUUUUUUUUAGAUCUGGUUCAGGAAGAGACAUGUACCAUUAUAAAAAAUAACAUGUGGAAAUAUUAGUAAAUAAAAUUAAAAAAAUCAAAAAGGAGAUUACAAAAAUACCCUUUUUACAUUCUACCUUUUCUCUACCUCUCCUUCACGAAAAGAACCACCAGCAACCCGCCGGCCAAGAGGACCAUUGGACAUUUGGGUUUUUUCUGAUUCCAAACAUUCAACUUCCCUUUGUGGUUUCCAGUCAUCGUUUGAAGUGCCACAUUUGUUGAAGUGCUUUGGAAUCCCACUCACUCAGUCUCACCUCUUCAAGUUCAGGUUAUCUUUUGCAACUUAUAUCGAGAAGUAUCUUCAUUCCCAUUGUUAACUGCUAAAAAGAAGAACUUAAGUUGAAAGUCUUGCAAGAAUGGAUAGUUGAGAAGUAUCUUCAUUCCCAGGGUAACUAUGUCUCUCUUUUGCUUACAGUCAAAUGUCAAAUAUAACUGAACUCAAGGAACAUUUAGAUGAAGAGAAAACUCAGAGCAGACAUCAACUUAGAAAAUGUUGCAAUUGAUCUAAACCCCGUUGUUAAUCAAUCUCAAUCUGAGGCUUCGGAGGAAUUCAUACCAUAUUGGUUGGAUGGAUGAGAAAGGAUAAGAUUUGUUAUCAUGACAUCAUUUUGAGAGAUAAUGCAUUUUUUCCAGCUGAAUUGUCCAUGGAGAUAGUUAGGGAAUUUCUUAAAUGAAUUUUAUAUACAUGAGAUUUAUUGCAUUAGUGAUUUUACUCUUUGUUUAUCUUUUUCAUUAGACUUGAGUUUCCUCCAUGUAUCUAUAAGAAGUGUUCUGUUUUAAGAUUUUUAUC